rnacentral:rRNA from 1 species
GUGGGGAAUAUUGGACAAUGGGCGCAAGCCUGAUCCAGCAAUGCCGCGUGGGUGAAGAAGGCCUUCGGGUUGUAAAGCCCUUUUGUACGGGAAGAAAUCAUUCGGGUUAAUACCCUGGGUGGAUGACGGUACCCGGAGAAGAAGCCCCGGCUAACUUCGUGCCAGCAGCCGCGGUAAUACGAAGGGGGCUAGCGUUGCUCGGAAUUACUGGGCGUAAAGGGCGCGUAGGCGGACAGUUUAGUCAGAGGUGAAAUCCCCGGGCUCAACCUGGGAACUGCUUUUCAAACUGCUUGGCUAGAGUACGGUAGAGGGUGGUGGAAUUUCCUGUGUAGCGGUGAAAUGCGUAGAUAUAGGAAAGAACACCAGUGGCGAAGGCGACCACCUGGACUGAUACUGACACUGAGGUGCGAAAGCGUGGGGAGCAAACAGGAUUAGAUACCCCAGUAGUCC